rnacentral:rRNA from 1 species
GUGCCAGCAGCCGCGGUAAUACGUAGGGUGCAAGCGUUAAUCGGAAUUACUGGGCGUAAAGGGUGCGCAGGCGGCCCCGCAUGUCAGGCGUGAAAUCCCCGGGCUUAACUUGGGAAUGGCGCUUGAAACUACGGGGCUGGAGUGUGGCAGAGGGAGGUGGAAUUCCACGUGUAGCGGUGAAAUGCGUAGAGAUGUGGAGGAACACCGAUGGCGAAGGCAGCCUCCUGGGCCAACACUGACGCUCAUGCACGAAAGCGUGGGGAGCAAACGGGAUUAGAUACCCGUGUAGUCC